rnacentral:lncRNA from 1 species
GGGAGACAACUCUAGGGAUAAGUUUUUCUUUUCAUAUUUUCGUGCAGUAAAAGGUUCAUUUGAGCCAAACCGCUGGUCUCAUAUACACUUAUCGUGAGUGCGUUGAUAUUGAAACCAGAUUUGAUUGACAAAAUCAUUCCAAUUUUCGUAAAAUAGUCAUUCAAAAGUUGGAGCAUGAUGGUCGUAACUUUAAAUGUGUGAUGGUCGUAAAUUCAACUAUAAUAUUUUGGAUGAUGGUCGUAACUUUGAAAGAUGACCGUAACUCGAGUAUUUAGACAAACUUUUAUUAAUGUAUUUUAAAAGUAAAAGUAAUAAACUCAGAUGUCAUACAUGAUUUGUUACAAACAAUAUUAUUUGUUACCAUGAUAAUGGUAUGCAGAAAUUGAGCUAGAGAAUUAUUAAACACACACAGUUCUGAUGUAUUCAAAACGCUCAUCAUUUAGGAGGAACAAUGAAAACUGUUCAACUCGCAUUAAGCCAAAAAGUAUGUUUGGGUUGAGUAUUAAUAUUUUUUUUUACUGUACGUUAAGGCAUAAAAUUAUCAAAUGCACGUGUGGUCACUCAUAUUUUUUUUUUUAUUUUCGACUUUUUUUUCUGCAAUCAUGUCGGCAGAUGAAAUUAUUAAACGUACAAUUCUGAACAAUCAUCGUUAACUUUUAAUCAGCUAUUGCAGUUCUUAUAAAUUAUAGGGCUUCAAAUAUUCGGCUUUUGGUGGUUCAUGCGGAAAUUAAAUCCACAAAUACACUUCGGAGUCCUGGGUUGAGUUCAAUAUCGUAGCAGCUACGUAUAGUGCUACGUAGAUUUUGACUAUUGAACGUGUAGCUAUAGACUAGUUGCUACAUAGAUAUUGAUAGCAGCUAAGUAGCCGCUACGAUACUGAACUCAACCCAGGAUAUUUUAACUUGCUGUCUAUUGUUUAUCGAUUACAUAACGAUUAUAUAUAGCGGUAUAUCAUUGAUAUUAGUUCUAAGUAUUGGUACGGAAUGAAAACUGAAUCCAUUGUGUCGCAAUGAAAAUUGUAUUAAUCUCUCGAAAGUAGGAAUAGUGUUGAUAUAUAUAUUUUACACUUCUACAAGCGCUGACUUUAAGAGUAAAAUAAAAUACUAGUUUGAAGCCAGGCUUAAGCUUGUAACCAGGAUAAUAUGUCAGAGACUUAGGUAGAACUAAAUGUACUGCGGCGACUAUCACAUACAAACCCCACGGUAUGCAGAUUUAACAUUAUGUGUAUGUUAUAUGUUUAUAUUGUAUGAAUGGCUACACGCUACUCAUGGACUUCGUAAUGGACAUAACUGUCCACCUUAUUAUCAGCUUGAUUUCACCAAAUAACAAGAUGACUUUCAAUAAUCCAGGCUAAAAAUAAAGCGUAUGUUCUUUAACUCAGGUACGGACCUGCGAAUUCGCGGGAAUGGUCUAGUCUAGAUAACGACCUUCAUAACCUAUCAAUAUUAACUUUUAGAUUAUUUUGACUCCUUACUAAUGCUCUUUCGACUUAAUGUAUCAAUCUUAAAUUGUAGAUUAAAAAAAAAAUCAACUAGUAGGUACAUCCUCAAAAAGUUUUUACAAUGUUUAUUUUUAACAAAGAUGCAAAAUCUAAAGAAG